UGGGAUAGCUCAGUCAGUAGAGCAUAAGACUCUUAAUCUCAAGGUUGGGAGUUUGAGCCCCACAUUGGGGAAAAA
rnacentral:tRNA from 1 species